rnacentral:rRNA from 1 species
AGUGAACGCUGGCGGCGUGCCUAAUACAUGCAAGUCGAACGGAGUGGCGCACGGGUGCGUAAUAUAUAGCUAAUCUGCCCCUUGCUGGAGGACAACAGUUAGAAAUGAAUGCUAAUACUCCAUAGCAAGGGAUGAGACUAUAUCGUAUCAGCUGGUCGGUGGGGUUACGGCCUACCGAGGCCAUGACUCGUAACUGGUCUGAGAGGAUGGUCAGUCACAUGGGCACUGCGACACUGUCCAAACUCCGACGAGGUGCAGCAGUAGGGAAUAGUGCGCAAUGGGGGAAACCCUGACGCAUCAACGCCGCGUGGAGGAUGACACUUUUCGGAGCGUAAACUCCUUUUGUUAGGGAAGCGGUACCUAACGGAUAAGCACCGGCUAACUCCUUGCCAGCCGCCGCGGUAAUUC